rnacentral:rRNA from 1 species
UGUUAAGCUACUAAGAGUGUGCGACGAAUGCCUAGGGACGAAUUGCCGAAGAAGGACGCGUAAGCUGCGAAAAGCUGCGGGGAGCUGCACAAGAGCGAAGAUCCGCAGAUGUCCGAAUGGGGAAACCCAGCUAGGGUCAUGCCUAGUUACCCGUACCUGAAUACAUAGGGUGCGAGGAGGGAACCUGGUGAACUGAAACAUCUAAGUAACCAGAGGAAAAGAACUCGAAGAGAUUCCGUAAGUAGCGGCGAGCGAAAGCGGAAGAGGCCAAACCAGUCGGUUUACCGGCUGGGGUAGUGGGGCAUCCACCAAGUUCCCCAAACGAAGGGACGGACCGAGAGAUCGGAAAGGACCUUUUGUUUGAGGAAUUUGGAAAAGAAGAUUGAACUUGGUUUAGAAGAACAGCGUUGGAAAGCGUGGCCAUAGAGGGUGACAGCCCCGUAUUAUAAAGACCAACCAAAUUCAGGAUGUACCCGAGUAGCGCGGAGCACGAGGAACCCCGCGUGAAUCUGUCCGGACCACCGGAUAAGCCUAAAUACGAUUCGUCACCGAUAGUGCAUCCAGUACCGUGAGGGAAAGGUGAAAAGAACCCCGGGAGGGGAGUGAAAUAGAACCUGAAAUCGCAACACUCGCAAACAGUCAGAGCACCAUGGGCGGAGCAAUCCGUUCAAGUGUUAUGGCGUACCUUUUGCAGAAUGAUCCUGCGAGUUACUUAGUAGUGGCAAGGUUAAGUGUCUCAGACACGGAGCCGGAGGGAAACCGAGUCCGAAUAGGGCGUCAAGUCAUUACUAGUAGACCCGAAACUGCGUGAUCUAGCCAUGGUCAGGUUGAAGUGUUGGUAACACAACAUGGAGGACCGAACUCAUUGACGUUGAAAAGUCUCGGGAUGAACUGUGGUUAGUCCGGUGAAAUGCCAAUCGAACGCAGAGAUAGCUGGUUCUCUCCGAAAUGUAUUGAGGUACAGCGUUACGUGUUUCGUUCUGGGGGUAGAGCACUGAAUGGGCUAGGGGGCCUACCAGCUUACUGAACCCAAUCAAACUCCGAAUACCAGAACGUGAAGCGUAGCAGUGAGACUGCGAGGGAUAAGCCCCGUGGUCAAAAGGGAAACAACCCAGAUCGUCAGCUAAGGGCCCUAAACCCAGGCUAAGUGUGAAACGAUGUGAGAUCGCGUAAACAGCCAGGAGGUUGGCUUGGAAGCAGCCAUCCUUUAAAAAGUGCGUAAUAGCUUACUGGCCGAAUGUGAUCUUGCGCGGAAAAUGUAAGGGGGCUAAAGCCUGGUCCCGAAGCUACGGGAUCCCGCAUGAGCGGUGAUCGGUAGGAGAGCGUCGUCAGUGCAGUGAAGCUUGAGCGUAAGCACAGGUGGAGCGCUGUCGAGUGAGAAUGCAGGAAUGAGUAGCGAUCACUGAGGUGAGAAUCCUCAGCGCCGAAAACCUAAGGUUUUUCCGGCUAUGUUCGUCAGACGGAAGUUAGGCGGACCUAAGGCGAGGCCAGAAGGCGUAGCCGAUGGACAGCAGGUAGAUAUUCCUGCCCCAGUCAUAGUGCGAUGGAUGACGCUUCUACAAGCUUACGACAGACCGUUGGUUGUUCUGCUCGGAGUCUUCGGACGAUGAGGUGUAGGUGAGUAGGGGCCGAGAAAAACUCCUAAGCUUCAGCUAUGGCUGACCGUACUGUAAACCGACACAGGUAGGUGAGUCGAGGAGACUAAGGCGUUCGGAAGAACUCUCGUUAAGGAACUAGGCAAAUUGACCCCGUAACUUAGGAAGAAGGGGUGCCCCGCAAGGGGCCGCAGCAAAGCAGCCGGGGCGACUGUUUACCAAAAACACAGGUCUCUGCUAAGGUGAAAACCGAAGUAUAGGGGCUGACGCCUGCCCAAUGCUAGUAGAUUAACAGGAGAUGUCAGGGGCAACCCGAAGCAUUGAAUCGAAGUCCUAGUGAAUGGCGGCCGUAACUCUAACGGUCCUAAGGUGGAAUGUAAACUGCCCGUGUCUAGCGUAAUCUAGACAAAAGUAUCUGGCUAUAUGCUGGAAUAUCCGGUGUAUCCGGCACUACUCAGCAAUGAGUGACAAUGUGUCCGGUGCGGACAAUCAGCAGGAAAGGCCGUCGAGCAAUCGACGGAAUCCUCAGAGACCACACGCCAGACACCCCAAGUGGGUGAAGAUAUGGUCCCAUCUGCAUGGCGACAUGUAGGGAUCGUCCCCGGAAUAGGACGAUCCGCUCAGCGGGCAACUGCUGAGUAAGAUAGUGAGCGAAAUUCCUUGUCGGCUAAAUACCGACCCGCAUGAAAGGCGUAACGACUUCGGCACUGUCUCAACGAGAAAUCCGGUGAAACUGUAGUACCCGUGAAGAUGCGGGUUCCGCGCAGUAGGACGGAAAGACCCCGUGGAGCUUUACUACACCUUCAGAUUGUUGAUUGGAUGUAGAUGUAGAGCGUAGGUGGGAGCGUAAGCAUCAAUGGAACACCACCCUUCUACAUCUGGUUAACUAACCUGCACCGUUAUCCGGUGUGGAGACAGUCUGUGGCGGGUAGUUUGACUGGGGCGGUCGCCUCCCAAAAAGUAACGGAGGCGUACAAAGCUACACUCAGCCUGGUCGGAAAUCAGGCGUUGAGCAUAUAGGUAUAGAGUGUGGUUGACUGUGAGACUGACAAGUCGAGCAGGUGCGAAAGCAGGUCUAAGUGACCCUCUGGUUGUGCGUGGGCACGCCAGGGUUCAACGGAUAAAAGCUACCCCGGGGAUAACAGGCUGAUCUUGCCCGAGCGCUCACAGCGACGGCAUGGUUUGGCACCUCGAUGUCGGCUCGUCGCAUCCUGGGGCUGUACAAGGUCCCAAGGGUUCCGGAGUUCACGGAUUAAAGCGGCACGCGAGCUGGGUUCAGAACGGCGUGAGCCAGUUCGGUCCCUAUCCA